CCCUUAGAUGUUCUGGGCUGCACGCGCGCUACACUGAUGCGCUCAACGAGUUUUAACCUUGCCUGGAAAGGUUGGGUAAUCUUUUUAAAACGCAUCGUGAUGGGGAUAGAUUAUUGCAAUUAUUAAUCUUCAACGAGGAAUUCCUAGUAAGCGCGAGUCAUCAGCUCGUGCUGAUUACGUCCCUGCCCUUUGUACACACCGCCCGUCGCUCCUACCGAUUGAGUGGUCCGGUGAAUAAUUCGGACUGCGGCAUUGACCGGUUCCCGAUCGUUGCUGCGGAAAGUUUAGUGAACCUUAUCACUUAGAGGAAGGAGAAGUCGUAACA
rnacentral:rRNA from 1 species